GAGGCUCUUUUGCUCACCCCUGUGCUAGACUAUUCAUUGUUUUUUAACCUCUUCUGGUUUCAUAUGUUUCUUGUAACUGGUGGGGGAUUUAAAACUCUGAGGCUCAAUGAACUGAGCCUGAGGCUUUGGUAAUUCGGAGUUUCUCCUUUGUGUGUUUCUGUUGCAGCCACAGAAUUGUGGUAUUGAAGUGUAGUUGAAAUGUGGAGUUUUAAUCAUUCGUUUUAGCUUGGUAUGAUGUAAUAUGCCUUGGUGAGUCCUGCCGGCCACCCUUUCUAAGUAGCAGAACAUGGCCGUGGUAGAGAUGCCUCAGGCUGUCUGUGUCUGUCACUGAUGUAAAGAUGGGAACAGACCAGAAGAGUUCUCGUGACUCACUGUGCUCACCCUUUUGCCCUUAAAAUGUAAGAUUUAAGAAGGCUUCUAUUAGAUUUUUAAUGUGGAAAAUUCUGUAACAAUUAGCGAGAAUGUUCUGUGCGGUCUUUAUGAAAGAAACGAUGUAAUCCUCGUUUGUGCGAGUGAGGAAUGCACGCACGGGAAAAGAUAAGAGUGAAGGCCAUUACGGCAUCCAGCUGGCCAAAGGAGGGGCCGGAAACUCAGGGCCACCAAGAGACUAUUAAAUGCACCCACUGUACCUAAUGAGUAACAAGGGGCAGAUUGAUGACCCUGAAGCACCCCCGGAGUUUUAAAAUAACAAAAUAGAAAAGACCAGAAUGUGCCAACGCUCAGAAAAAUACAUCAAAAUCCUAAUGUAGCAUGACAAUGAAAACAAUCUUAAAAUGAACAUUUGCGGCAAAGUAAUUAAUGACAAUAGAAUGCUGCAAAACUCAGACCCGCAUAAAAACAUGUAUGAAAGAUGGGGUGUCUUCUAUGGAACUUUGGGAUUCUUUCUGUAAAACACAGGACAUCAGAUCAUGAUCGAUAGAACCCGGCAUCUCUACUUAGGCUCAACUUACCUGGCCAUUAGAUUGGUCCGAGCCACAGAACAGGAAUUAUCCCACCUUUCAUACUUAACAGCAUCACUUUUGUUCCUUAAUAAACCCAGUGUAACUAAUUUUUGUCUGGGGGGAGGAGGCAAGGAGUCUGUGCACCUCUCUUAUAGUGAGACAGGGUGAAUUUCAUGAGGUUGUCCUGCACAGAGCUGUACACAGCCUGAGAUGGAUUUCUCUAGGAUUCAGUGCCCAGAGAGACUGUGUACUUGAGUGCCUGGAAAAUGUCUCACAGUGCAUCUGUGCUGAACAGGCUGAAGAACUGGGCUCAGCAAGACGGGGUUAAAGGGUGCCCAGGCUGUCAGGGAAAGCAGGCUUAGUGGGAAUCAGCACGUCAGGUGACAAUUCGGAGGGGUCCCUGACCACCCACAACUAGCACUCCAAGUUUCUGGGGAUUCAGAUGGAUUUAGUUUGUCAAUAUAUUCAAGAGAUUAGAUGUAUCUGAACCCAAACCUUAUUGUCCUGUUAACCACACGGUAGAAGGGUUACAUGCAAAGGGGCUUGUCUUCAAAUUAAGCAAACUGGACUUCAUUCAAAGCACAGUCACAUCCUCAUUGGUCCGUGUCCGUCGGCUUGCAAAGCAGUAACCAGUCACCGUGCCACCCACUGGGAACUGGAUAAAAGCGGCUGGACACCCACAGACCGGCCCAAGACGGGAUAACAAGGCUGUAGCGGUUGAAGCUCCUGGAAGAGAACUGGAGUUUCUACCUGUCUCCCAAAGCCGGUGACGGCAGGUGCCCAGGUGAGCUGUGCGAGGAUGGCGCUUCUCUGGUGCCUGUGGAUGGUGAUUGGGAUCCUCGCAGAGCCUGGGGUCUCUCAGGACUGCACCCCAACGCCAGGGGCUCAGAACCUGGCGCUGCAACGUACGGCCAAUCAGUCGUCCACGUAUGAGGACAACACUGGGAUAUCCGUGCCUGCAAGGGCCGUGGACGGAAAACGUGAUGGGUAUCAAGAUCAGGGCUCCUGCAGCCACACCAAGCUCGACAGAGAGCCGUGGUGGAGCGUGGACUUGGGCAGCCGGUAUUCUGUUUCCAUGGUGAUUGUGAAGAACAGGGAAGACAAGUGUUGUUGGGAGAGACUGAAGGGGGCCCAGAUCUACGUGGGAGACUCCCAGAAUUACCAUGAACUCAACAACGCCAUCUGUGGGACCAUCACCGACCCCACUGCCGGAUCCCUCAGCACCAUCUGCUGCAACGGGCUGGAGGGCCGCUACGUCACCAUCGUCAUCCCGGGCAGGGAGGAGUAUCUGUCCCUGUGUGAGGUCGAGGUUCUCUCUCAGGGCUGUACCCCACCUCCAGGGGCUCAGAACUUGGCGCUGGGGCGUCCGGCCAAUCAGUCAUCCACAUUACUGGACAAGACUGGACAAGCUGUGCCUGGAAGAGCCGUGGAUGGAAACCGUGAUGGGAAGUUUGAAGUUGGCUCCUGCAGCCACACCACUCUCAUAAGAGAGCCAUGGUGGAACGUGGACUUGGGGAGGCGAUAUUCUGUCUCCAUGGUGAUCGUGAAGCAUGGGGAAAACAAGUGUUGUGGAGUGAGAUUGAAGGGUGCCGAGAUCCACGUGGGGGACUCCAUAGUGAACCAUGGCAAGGACAACCCCAUCUGCGGGACCAUUAACGACACCAGACCCGGAUCCCUCAGCACCAUCUGCUGCGACGGGCUGGAGGGCCGCUAUGUCACCAUCGUCAUCCCGGGCAGGUCGGAGUAUCUGACCCUGUGUGAGGUCGAGGUUCUGUCUCAGGGCUGCUCCCAGCCCCCAUGGGCUCAGAACUUGGCGCUGGGACGUCCGGCCACUCAGUCGUCCACGCACAAGGAUGACACUGGAAAAGCCGAGCCUGGAAGGGCCGUGGACGGAAACCGUGAUGGGAAUUAUAAACAAGGCUCCUGCAGCCUCACCAAGCUCGAAAAUGAGCCGUGGUGGAACGUGGACUUGGGCAGCCGGCAUUCCGUCUCCAUGGUGAUCGUGAAGAACAGGGAAGACGAGUGCUGUUGGGAGAGGCUGAAGGGGGCUCAGAUCCAUGUGGGAGACUCCCUGGCCAACCACGGCAAGGACAACCCCCUCUGCGGGACCAUCACCAACAUCAGACCUGGAUCUCUCAGCACUGUCUGCUGCAGAGGCUUGGAGGGUCAUUAUGUCACCAUCGUCAUCCCAGACAGGGAGGAGUAUCUGACCCUGUGUGAGGUCGAGGUUCUAUCUCAGGGCUGUGCCCCACCGCCAGGGGCUCAGAACUUGGCGCUCAGACGUCCGGCCAUGCAGUCGUCCACAAUCAGGGACUUUACUGGAGAAGCUGUGUCAGGAAGGGCCGUGGAUGGAAACCGUGAAGGGGCGUAUGAUCAAAGCUCCUGCAGCCACACCAGGUUUGACACAGAGCCGUGGUGGAGCGUGGACUUGGGCAGCCGGCGUUCCGUCUCCUUGGUGAUCGUGAAGAACAGGGAAGAAGAAUGCUGUGCGGAGAGACUAAAAGGGGCCCAGAUCCACGUGGGCAACUCUGUGGCUAACGGUGGCAGGCGCAACCCCAUCUGCGGGACCAUCACCGACCCCAGUCCCGGAUCCGUCAACACCGUCUGCUGCAACGGGCUGGAGGGCCGCUACGUCACCAUCGUCAUCCCGGGCAGGGAGGAGUUUCUCACCCUGUGUGAGGUCGAGGUUCUAUCUCAGGGCUGUAUCCCACCGCCAGGGGCUCAGAACUUGGCGCUGGGACGUCCGGCCAACCAGUCGUCCACGUACAACAAUGGGACUGCAAAAGCCGAGCCUGGGAGGGCCGUGGACGGAAACCGUGAUGGGAAAUUUGAACUCGGCUCCUGCAGCCAAUCCGAGCUCGACACAGAGCCCUGGUGGACCGUGGACUUGGGCAGCCGGCAUUCCAUCUCCAUGGUGAUCGUGAAGCACAGAGAAGACGAGUGCUGCGGGGGGAAACUGAAGGGGGCCCAGAUCCACGUGGGAGACUCGCUGGUGAACCAGGGCGAGGACAACCCCCUCUGCGGGACCAUCACUGACCACAGACCCGGAUCCCUCAGCACCAUCUGCUGCAGUGGCUUGGAGGGUCGUUAUGUCACCAUCGUCAUCCCGGGCAAGACGGAGCAUCUGACCCUGUGUGAGGUCGAGGUUCUAUCUCAGGGCUGUAUCCCACCACCAGGAGCUCAGAACUUGGCGCUGGGACGUCCGGCCACUCAGUCCUCCAGUGUUGAGCACAAGACUGGGCAAGCUGAGCCUGGCAGGGCCGUGGAUGGGAACCGUGAUGGGAAGUUUGAACUCGGCUCCUGCAGCCAGACCAAGAACGACCUGGAGCCGUGGUGGAGCGUGGACUUGGGCAGGAGGUAUUCCGUCUCCAUGGUGAUCGUGAAGAACAGGGAAGACAAGUGCUGCGGGGAGAGGCUGCAGGGGGCCGAGAUCCGCGUGGGAGACUCCCUGGUGAACCACGGCAAGGACAACCCCCUCUGCGGGACCAUCACCGACCCCAGUCCCGGAUCCCUCAACAGCAUCUGCUGCAACGGGCUGGAGGGACACUUCGUCACCAUCGUCAUCCCGGGCAGGAUGGAGCAGCUCACCCUGUGUGAGGUCGAGGUUCUCUCUCAGAGCUGUGCCCCACCGCCAGGGGCUCAGAACUUGGCUCUUGGAUGUCCGGCCAUUCAGUCAUCCACAUUCGAGGACUGGACUGACAGAUCUGAGGCUGGAAAGGCCGUGGAUGGUAAACGUAGUGGGCUGUGGGAACAAGGAUCCUGCAGCCAAACUGAACUGGACAUAGAGCCGUGGUGGACCGUGGACUUGGGCAGCCGGCAUUCCGUCUCCGUGGUGAUCGUGAAGCACUUGGAAGAGGAGUGCUGUGGGGAGAGACUGAAGGGGGCCCAGAUCCACGUGGGAGACUCCCUAGUGAACCAUGGCAAGGACAACCCCAUUUGUGGGACCAUCACCAACACCGUUCCCGGAUCCCUCAGCACCGUCUGCUGCAAUGGCUGGCAGGGCCGCUACGUCACCAUCACCAUCCCGGGCAGGGCGGAGCAUCUCACCCUGUGUGAGGUCGAGGUUCUGUCUCAGAGCUGUGCCCCACCGCCAGGGGCUCAGAACUUGGCGUUGGGACGUCUGGCCAAUCAGUCGUCCACCUUCGAGGAUGAGACCGGAAAAGCCGUGGCUGGAAGGGCUGUGGAUGGGAAACAUGAUGGGAAGUUUGAACAAGGCUCCUGCAGCCUCACCAAGCUGGACAUAGAGCCGUGGUGGAUCGUGGACUUGGGCAGGCGGCAUUCCAUCUCCAUGGUGAUCGUGAAGCACAGGGAAGACAAGUGCUGUGGGGAGAGGCUGCAGGGGGCCCAGAUCCGCGUGGGAGUCUCCCGGAUGAACCACGGCAAACACAACCCUCUCUGCGGGACCAUCACCGACACCAGACCCGGAUCCAUCAGCACCAUCUGCUGCAACAGGCUGGCAGGCCGCUACGUCACCAUCGUCAUCCCGGACAGGGAAGAGUAUCUCAAUCUGUGUGAGGUCGAGGUUCUAUCUCAGGGCUGUGCCCCACCUCUAAUGGCUGAAAACUUGGCACUGUAUCGUCCGGCCAAUCAGUCGUCCACGUACCAGAACGGGACUGAAAUAGCUCUGGCUGGAAAGGCCGUGGAUGGGAAACAUGAUGGGCUGUGGAAAGAUGGCUCCUGCAGCCACACCAACCUCGACACAGAGCCAUGGUGGACCGUGGACUUGGGCAGCCGGCAUUCCGUCUCCGUGGUGAUCGUGAAGCACACGGAAGACGAGUGUUGUGGGGACAGACUGAAGGGGGCCCAGAUCCACGUGGGAGACUCCCUGGUGAACCAUGGCAAGCACAACCCCAUCUGCGGGGUCAUCACUGCCACUGAGCCCGGAGCCACCAGCACCAUCUGCUGCAACCGGCUGGAGGGGCGCUACGUCUCCAUCAUCAUCCCAGACAGGGCGGAGCAUCUCACCCUGUGUGAGGUCGAGGUUCUAUCUCAGGAAUGUGCCCCACCUCUAGUGGCUGCGGGACUAUCACUGACACCGUUCUGGGGUCCUUAGCUGAACGGCCGUUACGUCAGCAUCACCAGCCCUGUGGCACCAGCUGGAGAAGUGUGCAGAUAAUGGAUGUGGACCCUAAGGUAGCCAAGUGACGUUGCAGAGACGCAGGGACACAGCCGGGAAGGCUGAAAGGCAGGACAGUCCCUUUAAAAGUGGGACAUCGAGUCACUGUUGGCAAACUUGACUUCGUUAGUCACAUCCUCAUUGGUCCGUGUCCGUCGGCUUGCAAAGCAGUAACCAGUCACCGUGCCACCCACUGGGAACUGGAUAAAAGCGGCUGGACACCCACAGACCGGCCCAAGACGGGAUAACAAGGCUGUAGCGGUUGAAGCUCCUGGAAGAGAACUGGAGUUUCUACCUGUCUCCCAAAGCCGGUGACGGCAGGUGCCCAGGUGAGCUGUGCGAGGAUGGCGCUUCUCUGGUGCCUGUGGAUGGCGAUUGGGAUCCUCGCAGGGCCUGGGGUCUCUCAGGACUGCACCGCACCUCCAGAGGCUCAGAACUUGGCACUAAGACGUCCAGCCACGCAGUCGUCCACAUUCAGUGAGCAGAUUGAAAAAUCU